GGGCCAGUGGCGCAAUGGGUAACGUGCUUGACUACAGAUCAGGCGACUGUAGGUUCGAGUCCUACCUGGCUUG